CGUGUUUUGUGUUGGUGUCAUUAAUUUUAUAAUAUGUGUCAUUAUGUUUUUUUUUUGGUUUUACUAGGGAAAUAUAAAAAUAAGGGACUAAUUAAUAAUUAGGUGAAAAAAAGAAAAGAAAAAGUAACGACUGGAAAUAUAUGUCUGUGCAUUUUUGUUAUUCGAUGUCAAAAUGAGUUGGUGGUGAGUUUGAAAAUUGAGAGGCCGAUUCAUUAUUGGUUAGUUCAUCACCUCUCUCCUCUUUUCUGUUUUUUCAUCUUUUAUUUUCUUCUCUGUCAGCUCUUACUCUUUUUGUUAUUUGAUUUUUUUUUUUUUAUAAUUAUUAUGAUUGUUGCCUGCUGACUCGGUCUUGUAAGAGAAAGAGAAUAUUUAGAAAGAAAGUGGGAGAUUUGUCCGUAAACUAAUCCGUGUUUUUCUCAGUAGAUUCUAUAUUUAGAUUAUAUGAUUAUUAUGGAGAGCACGUCUUUUCCUUUCAUGUAACAAACGUGUUCGAUGAUCUUUUCUAAAGAGUUAUACUGUAUCAAUAAAAGGAAUAGAGCUAGAGAGACACGUAUUAAAACAUUUAACUCUUAUUACAAUGACAAUCCUAAGAGAAAGUACAUUGAGCCAUUGUCCGAUCCGCAUCAUGAAUUUAGUCUAAACACUCUCGGUUCUAUCGACCGGAUCGGCGAACAAAUGCCUAGACUUCAUUUUCAAAAUGGCACUAGCUGGGUUAAGUCCUUUAGGACAAGUGGCCGUACAGUUCUUGAUUGCUCUGCAUCUAUAAACUUUUGUCUCGUUCUCUGUUAUCGCUUGAAGUCUCUCUUGUCUAAACUCAUCGCGGCUGCGUUAAUCAAAGAAAAACGAAAAACGAUGUUUAUGGACCCGGAUUUAACUUAAAACCGUUUUAACUUCAACUUUUAUACCUGUCGCUGAUCCAACGGUACGCUUGUAGUAAAGCCGCGGGUCCUGGAAACUCUUCGGGGUUCCACCAAUAAGAAGGACAUGAUGUGGUACAACAUGCGCACAAUAUGCAUUCGUAUAGCCCAUCUAGUUUCUUCCGGUCAUUUGGUGACUGCCUGUGUUCGCGUCCGUCUUUUGGCGGCUUCCUCGUCUUUAACCACGGCUCCAUUGAUCUUUAAUUUCAAAGACACAACACAACACAGUAUAUAUAGUCCCAGCAAUGUAAAGUAUAUAACCACUAAGCGACUCCCUCAUACAAAUCAUGAGACAUUAUAAUUCGUAUAUGUUAUUAAAUUUGUCUCUCAUUUUCCAGAAAUUUGCGUCAACAUAUCCAUAGACUGAUGCAAAAAAAAACAUGGAGAGAG
rnacentral:lncRNA from 1 species